GUGGGGAAUUUUGGACAAUGGGCGCAAGCCUGAUCCAGCAAUGCCGCGUGCAGGAAGAAGGCCUUCGGGUUGUAAACUGCUUUUGUACGGAACGAAACGGUCCUGGCUAAUAUCCGGGGCUAAUGACGGUACCGUAAGAAUAAGCACCGGCUAACUACGUGCCAGCAGCCGCGGUAAUACGUAGGGUGCGAGCGUUAAUCGGAAUUACUGGGCGUAAAGCGUGCGCAGGCGGUGCUGUAAGACAGGCGUGAAAUCCCCGGGCUCAACCGGGGAAUUGCGCUUGUGACUGCGGUGCUGGAGUACGGCAGAGGGGGAUGGAAUUCCGCGUGUAGCAGUGAAAUGCGUAGAUAUGCGGAGGAACACCGAUGGCGAAGGCAGUCCCCUGGGCCUGUACUGACGCUCAUGCACGAAAGCGUGGGGAGCAAACAGGAUUAGAUACCCCAGUAGUCC
rnacentral:rRNA from 1 species